rnacentral:rRNA from 1 species
AGUGAACGCUGGCGGUAGGCUUAACACAUGCAAGUCGAACGGCAGCACAGUAAGAGCUUGCUCUUACGGGUGGCGAGUGGCGGACGGGAGAGGAAUACAUCGGAAUCUACUUUUUCGUGGGGGAUAACGUAGGGAAACUUACGCUAAUACCGCAUACGACCUACGGGUGAAAGCAGGGGAUCUUCGGACCUUGCGCGAUUGAACGAGCCGAUGUUGGAUUAGCUAGUUGGCGGGGUAAAGGCCCACCAAGGCGGCGAUCCGUAGCUGGACGGAGAGAAUGAUCGGCCACACUGGAACUGGAACACCGUCCAGGCUCCUACGGGAGGCAGCAGUGGGGAAUAUUAGACAGUAGGCGCGAACCUGGUCCAGCCGGACCGAGUGGGUGAAGGAGGCCUUCGGGUUGUAAAGCCCUUUUGUUGGGAAAGAAAAGCAGCAGGUUAAUACCCCGCUGUUCUGACGGUACCGAAAGAAUAAGCACCGGCUAACUUCGUG